GCGGUACACAAAUGCGUUUACCGAACCAUAUGGUUCCUUGGUCAUCUUCACGAAAAUCCUUUGCUUUCUCGGCAACCAUAUUUUCUUUUAUUUCCUUUAUUUCUGAAUCGCUCUUUUGUGCUUUUCUAAUUCUGUCCAGCAAAGUGGGCUGUACUUCCAAUGUGGCCAGAUGUCCUUCUGGCACAAUCUCCAGUCUUAGGUCCUUGAACUGUUUGCUCAACUCUUGCGGUAACUCUCCUGCUGUCA
rnacentral:lncRNA from 1 species